UGUUUGUGGCACUAAACUAUUCUUCUCAAAAGUACAGUUAGAUGACUCCAUAGUGAAAACCAUUUUGACUGAUCCCCGGCAAGAGCUCAAGAAAGCAAGAGAUUUAAUCCUUCGUAUUCGGAGAAGGGAAAUAUACCAGUUCUGCAAUGAAUUUUCAGUUCCAAAGGCCAAGCUAGAGCAUUUCAAAGACAUCACUCCACAAGAUAUUGUUUGUUCUCAGAAAGCUGGUGGUGUUUCACUAAAAGAAGAAGAUGUUGCUGUGAGCAAUGUUAGGAUUGAUUUGACUCGCGGAAAGAACAACCCCCUUGAAAGCAUUAAUUUUUUCAAGGAUUAUGAUUGCGAUGAGAAGUUUCCCAUUCGGGAUGAUCACAUCAGUCAUUUGCUGCCUGCAUGCUGCCAAGAUACUAUUGUGAGGGUGUACUCUAAAAAGCCCGAACUGGUUUGUGAAAAAUUAUUAUCUAAAUUAAUAUUGUUAUGUUAACAAUUUACUUGGCGUUAUUAAAUAUUCCCGUGAAUGAACAAAUUUUUUUCAUCCAUACAGGUGGGAGCAAUUUCUGAGGCCUUCGAGAAUUUCCAGGUAAAAAUGUUUGGUAAGACAGCACAGGUGUAUGCUACUCCUGAGAAGAAGAAACGCCGACUAUAAUUGCUGCAAUUCUUCGUCUUACCUUGCCCAAUAUAUAAAUACGUACAAACACUAUACAUAUUCAUAUAGAACCAUUGACUGUCAAAGAAAAAAAGAAAACUA